AGACCCGAAACCCGGUGAUCUAGCCAUGGGCAGGUUGAAGGUUGGGUAACACUAACUGGAGGACCGAACCGACUAAUGUUGAAAAAUUAGCGGAUGACCUGUGGCUGGGGGUGAAAGGCCAAUCAAACCGGGAGAUAGCUGGUUCUCCCCGAAAGCUAUUUAGGUAGCGCCUCGUGAAUUCAUCUCCGGGGGUAGAGCACUGUUUCGGCUAGGGGGCCAUCCCGGCUUACCAACCCGAUGCAAACUGCGAAUACCGGAGAAUGUUAUCACGGGAGACACACGGCGGGUGCUAACGUCCGUCGUGAAGAGGGAAACAACCCAGACCGCCAGCUAAGGUCCCAAAGUCAUGGUUAAGUGGGAAACGAUGUGGGAAGGCCCAGACAGCCAGGAUGUUGGCUUAGAAGCAGCCAUCAUUUAAAGAAAGCGUAAUAGCUCACUGGUCGAGUCGGCCUGCGCGGAAGAUGUAACGGGGCUAAACCAUGCACCGAAGCUGCGGCAGCGACGCUUAUGCGUUGUUGGGUAGGGGAGCGUUCUGUAAGCCUGCGAAGGUGG
rnacentral:rRNA from 2 species